rnacentral:rRNA from 1 species
AUUGAACGCUGGCGGCAGGCCUAACACAUGCAAGUCGAACGAGUGGCGGACGGGUGAGUAAUGUCUGGGAAACUGCCCGAUGGCGGGGGAUAACUACUGGAAACGGUAGCUAAUACAGCAUACCAUCGGAUGUGCCCAGAUGGGAUUAGCUAGUAGGUGGGGUAAUGGCUCACCUAGGCGACGAUCCCUAGCUGGUCUGAGAGGGUGACAAGCCACACUGGAACUGAGACACGGUCCAGACGCCUACGGGAGGAAGCAGUGGGGAAUAUUGCACAAUGGGCGCAAGCAUGAUGCAGCCCUGCAGAGUGUAUGAAGAAGGCCUUCGGGUUGUAAAGUACUUUCAGCGAGGAGACGUUACUCGCAGAAGAAGCACCGGCUAACUCCGUGCAAGCAGCCGCGGUAAUUC